AGAAAACAGAUUUGUGAAAACGCGCAGGCUUACAUUUCAGGGAAUCAAGUGAAAUUCUUGAACAGUUCCGCUGCUGUGUACAGGGAGGCGGUAUCCAUAAUGCCACUGGAGGAGGCUACUUUUAGCUGACCGAAUCCGGGAAGGCGGGUAUUGCUGUUAAUCUGUGAGUCAGAAGACCGGUUUACAGGCAGAGUUAAAA
rnacentral:ncRNA from 2 species